GACGAACGCUGGCGGCGUGCCUAACACAUGCAAGUCGAACGGUAAGGCCCUUCGGGGUACACGAGUGGCGAACGGGUGAGUAACACGUGGGUGAUCUGCCCUGCACUUCGGGAUAAGCCUGGGAAACUGGGUCUAAUACCGGAUAGGACCACUGCCUGCAUGGGUGGUGGUGGAAAGCUUUUGCGGUGUGGGAUGGGCCCGCGGCCUAUCAGCUUGUUGGUGGGGUGAUGGCCUACCAAGGCGACGACGGGCAGCCGGCCUGAGAGGGUGACCGGCCACACUGGGACUGAGAUACGGCCCAGACUCCUACGGGAGGCAGCAGUGGGGAAUAUUGCACAAUGGGCGCAAGCCUGAUGCAGCGACGCCGCGUGAGGGAUGACGGCCUUCGGGUUGUAAACCUCUUUCAGCACCGACGAAGCGCAAGUGACGGUAGGUGCAGAAGAAGGACCGGCCAACUACAUGCCAGCCGCCGCGGUAA
rnacentral:rRNA from 1 species